rnacentral:rRNA from 1 species
CCAGACUCCUACGGGAGGCAGCAGUGAGGAAUAUUGGUCAAUGGGCUUACGCCUGAACCAGCCAAGUCGCGUGAGGGAUGACGGUCCUACGGAUUGUAAACCUCUUUUGCCGGGGAGCAAGCGUGCGUUCGUGAACGCGCGUCGAGAGUACCCGGAGAAAAAGCAUCGGCUAACUCCGUGCCAGCAGCCGCGGUAAUACGGAGGAUGCGAGCGUUAUCCGGAUUUAUUGGGUUUAAAGGGUGCGUGGGCGGGAUGCAAAGUCAGCGGUAAAAAUGCGGUGCUCAACGCCGUCGAGCCGUUGAAACUGGCGUUCUUGAGUGGGCGAGAAGUAUGCGGAAUGCGUGGUGUAGCGGUGAAAUGCAUAAAUAUCACGCAGAACCCCGAUUGCGAAGGCAGCAUGCCGGCUUCCGACUGACGCUGAAGCACGAAAGCGUGGGGAUCGAACAGGAUUAGAUACCCCAGUA